CCAGCAUGAGAUAAAGUGCUUACAGUGCAGGUAGUGAUCAGAACAGUCUACUGCAGUGUGAGCACUUCUCUCCCACGCUG
ncrna:Oryzias latipes (Japanese medaka) microRNA ola-mir-106a precursor